UUCGGGAACUGUGAGACAGGUGCUGCAUGGCUGUCGUCAGCUCGUGUUGUGAAAUGUUGGGUUAAGUCCCGCAACGAGCGCAACCCUUAUCCUUUGUUGCCAGCGGUUAGGCCGGGAACUCAAAGGAGACUGCCAGUGAUAAACUGGAGGAAGGUGGGGAUGACGUCAAGUCAUCAUGGCCCUUACGACCAGGGCUACACACGUGCUACAAUGGCAUAUACAAAGAGAAGCGACCUCGCGAGAGCAAGCGGACCUCAUAAAGUAUGUCGUAGUCCGGAUUGGAGUCUGCAACUCGACUCCAUGAAGUCGGAAUCGCUAGUAAUCGUAGAUCAGAAUGCUACGGUGAAUACGUUCCCGGGCCUUGUACACACCGCCCGUCACACCAUGGGAGUGGGUUGCAAAAGAAGUAGGUAGCUUAACCUUCGGGAGGGCGCUUACCACUUUGUGAUUCAUGACUGGGGGGAAGUCGUAACAAGGUAACCGUAGGGGAACCUCCGCUUGGAUCACCUCCUUA
rnacentral:rRNA from 1 species